rnacentral:rRNA from 1 species
ACGAAGGAUGCAAGCGUUAUCCGGAUUCAUUGGGUUUAAAGGGUGCGCAGGCGGAAUGAUAAGUCAGUGGUGAAAUCCUACGGCUCAACUGUAGAACUGCCAUUGAUACUGUCGUUCUUGAGUACACUUGGAGUGGGCGGAAUGUGUCAUGUAGCGGUGAAAUGCUUAGAUAUGACGAAGAACACCGAUCGCGAAGGCAGCUCACUAGAUUGUAACUGACGCUCAGACGCGAAAGCUAGGGGAUCAAACGG